rnacentral:rRNA from 1 species
AUGGGCAUCUUGCCAGUGAUCCAUGCACUACUCCCUUUCUUGGUACUCGGGUCACUAGGAAAGCUAACUGCGUUAGCAUCUGGAGUUGUAACAAGCCACAGUCCAGAACAUGAUAGUGUUCCCCGGAGUGCCUCGCUCGAAGGUUGCGUGAAGACAUGUGGCAAUCUGAGCUUCGACUAUCCCCUUGGCAUCGGGUCGAGGUACUCCCGUGGGCCUGAUUUCAAUCUCUCUUGCAACGAGACUUCCCAACCCCCCAAGCUCUUCUUGCAUGACGGCAUCACCGAGGUAACCGACGAUAUCGAUGUGAAUGAUUUCGGCCCUGGAAAUUUCAUCAGCACCUCCUUCCGGAUACCAUCCCUAUGAAAUCUGGUGUCAAAGUGUAUGACUUGUCGCUGAAAUCACCUGGGAGGUCCUUCACCCAUGGGUACACCAUUCUAAACAUCAUAGGUUGCGACCUGGAUGUGUACUGGGUCAACGACAACACCGGCGCAACCAGACGCGUCUGCAAAACUGCAUGCCUGGACCUAGGAAUUACAGAGACAGUGGCUAGGAGGAAGUGCAACGGCGUCGGUUGCUGUAGUUUUCCCAUCGAUGACAAUAGCAUCGACACUUUUCACCUCAAAUUUGUAUUGCGCCAUAGGAAAAUUAACACCGGAGCACGCCCUAACCGGACUUCUCCAUUGUGGGAUAGGAUCAGCAUAACGGACAGUGGCGGUGCCACUGUACGUUGGAAUAUGGUGGAUCAACCCAACUGUGCUUGCACGGUGCGAAACAGGACUGCCUAUGCCUAUAUCAGCGAGCAUGCCGAGUGCGUCGACAGUACAUUUUUUGACUGCCCAUUGACACGUGAUGAGUGUGUUGACUUCGGCAUGACAUCAAGCAAUGGGUACAACUGCAUCUGCGGUGCCGGCUAUACAGGGUAUAAUCCAAUUGCAAGCAGAGCUGAUUGUACCCGUUCGUGUGGUAACAUUAGUGUGCAGUUCCCAUUCGGCAUAGAAGAGGGUUGCUUUGCGAGGGAAGAUUUUCACCUCAAUUGCUCAGUUACGACUUCAUCAGCUGUCCUCAUGUUGGCACAUCUGGAGGUAAACAGCAUGAAUGUUGAUGAAGGGGCUAUUAAUAUCACCAAUCCUGAGCAAAAAGGAGGAUUCACCCUGUCUGGAGGAGGACCUGAUCUUUUUUAUUCAUAUGGGACAUUGUUCUCCCCUCUGCAAUGGGUUGCUGCAAAUCUAAGUUGCAUAGAGGCCCAACAGAAUAGAUCUGGAUAUGCUUGUGUGAGUCUCAACAGCAAGUGCGUUGAAGUAAACACUGCAGACAUCUAUGUUGGUUAUCACUGCAAAUGCGCAGAUGGCUUCCAAGGAAAUCCAUACGUCCAAAGUGGUUGUAGAGACAUUGAUGAAUGCAUUCAGCCAAACAAUUGUAAUGGGAUCUGCCAUAAUAUUGAAGGAAGCUUCUUUUGUACUGGAUGUUCUCGCAAGACUGAGUAUGAUCCAACGAAAAUGCAGUGUACUAGAAGGAAACAACAGACUCUGCUUUUAGGUAUAAUAAUUGGGUUGUCUUGUGGUUUGGGUGUCCUAUUUCUGAGCUUCAGUGUAGUGCUUCUCACUCGCACAUGGAAAAGAAAUGUUAGAAAGCAACUACGAAAAAAAUAUUUCCGGAAGAACCAAGGUCUUCUCCUAGAAACGUUGAUAUCAUCUGAUGAAACUGCAAAUGAGAAUACUAAGAUUUUCUCGCUAGAAGAGCUGGAGAAGGCAACAAACAACUUUGAUCCUACACGUAUCAUUGGACGUGGGGGCCAUGGCCUUGGGGUUUUCUUGUCUGAUCAACUUGUUGUUGCAGUAAAAAUGUCUAUGGUCAUCGAGCAGUCUGAAAUCAGUCAAUUCAUCAAUGAGGUCGCAAUGCUUACUCAGAUAAACCACAGAAAUAUUGUGAAGCUCUUUGGGUGUUGUCUUGAAACCGAGGUUCCAUUGUUGGUGUAUGAUUAUGCAUCCAGCGGCUCACUGUCUGAAGUUCUGCAUGCAGCUGCAAGUGAUGGUUUUUCUUUGACUUGUGGUGAUUAUUUAAGGAUUGCCCUGGAAACAGCAGGUGCUCUGUCUUAUCUCCACUCUUCGGCUUCAAUAUCAAUCUUCCAUCGUGACGUGAAGUCCUCAAAUAUACUCUUGGAUGGGAAUUACACAGCUAAAGUUUCAGACUUUGGUGCUUCUAGAUUGGUUCCAAUCGAUCAAACACAUAUUGUGACAAAUGUGCAAGGUACAUUUGGGUACUUAGAUCCAGAGUAUUUCCAUACCAGGCAGCUCAACGGGAAGAGCGACAUGUACAGUUUUGGUGUGGUACUACUGGAGUUGCUUCUGAGAAUGAAGCCUGUUUUUACAAGUGAAUCAGGCACAGUCAAGAGCUUAUCAAACUAUUUUCUGCAGGAGUUCAACAAGGGGAGAAUCACAUGUAUUGUUAAUUCUCAUAUCCUUGUGGAGGCAACUGAGGAAGAGAUCAACAGUGUCGCCUCUUUGGCAGAGGAGGUGCUUGUGGCUACACGGCGAAGAAAGACCAACCAUGAAACAGGUGGAGACGGAACUGCAGACUAUCUAUAUAUAUACCUAUUUACUAAUAAAAGGGUUAUUGCUUCUUACCAUCAUAAUUUCGUCUGUUUUUGGUCUCACCGUCAAACUUCUGUCCGUAUGGUUCAUCUCGUACGUUCAGAGGGUCAGAGAGAAAAGAUCAAAGGGAGUGGGAGAGAGGCGCAGCGGCGGAGCUCACUCACCUCGCCGGUCCCCCGCUGGGCGACGAACGAGCAAGGGAGGGGAGACUGA